CCUACGGGGGGCAGCAGUGGGGGAUAUUGGACAAUGGGGGAAACCCUGAUCCAGCGACGCCGCGUGAGUGAAGAAGUAUUUCGGUACGUAAAGCUCUAUCAGCAGGGAAGAAAAAAAUGACGGUACCUGAGUAAGAAGCCCCGGCUAACUACGUGCCAGCAGACGCGGUAAUACGUAGGGGGCAAGCGUAAUCCGGAAUUGCUGGGUGUAAAGGGGGCGUAGGCGGUAAUGCAAGUCUGGAGUGAAAGGCGGGGGCCCAACCCCCGGACGGCUCUGGAAACUGUGUAACUGGAGUGCAGGAGAGGCAGGCGGAAUGCCUAGUGUAGCGGUGAAAUGCGUAGAUAUUAGGCGGAACACCAGUGGCGAAGGCGGCCUGCUGGACUGUAACUGACGUUGAGGCUCGAAAGCGUGGGGAGCAAACAGGAUUAGAUACCCCUGUAGUC
rnacentral:rRNA from 1 species